rnacentral:rRNA from 1 species
UACGUAGGCAGCGAGCGUUGUUCGGAGUUACUGGGCGUAAAGAGUGCGUAGGCGGUGCUCUAAGUUUGGUGUGAAAUCUCCCGGCUCAACUGGGAGGGUGCGCCGAAAACUGGAGUGCUCGAGUAUGGGAGAGGUAAGCGGAAUUCCUGGUGUAGCGGUGAAAUGCGUAGAUAUCAGGAAGAACACCCGUUGCUAAGGCGGCUCUCUAGUACGGUACUGACGCUGAGACGCGAAAGCGUGGGGAGCGAACAGG